AGUUCAGCCUGCACCUACUGCCACUCUUCAGCCCAUUCCUCGUACACUCGUACCAAAUUCAAGACCACCUACCCCUUUUCUCUCCACACAUUGCCUGCACCUACUGCCCCUCUUCAGCCCGUUCCUGUGAGCAACAUUCCUGAUGAUUUGUCUUCAAUUGUAUGUCACUUAUUGGACUGGUAAAUAAGGUUUUGAUCAGCAUCCUCCACUAAAAGAAUUUGGUGUUUGAUAUUAAGAAGAUUACUUGCUAAGUAUUUGAAAGAGGAAUUAUAAUAGUCCCGUACGUGAGAAAUAAUAGCAGCCAUGAUCAGAGGCAGAGAAACAGCACUAGCUAGAGGCAUGACCGGCGACAGCAGCAGGGGAGGCUCCAGAAACAAGAAUAGAAAUUGCUGCCGGUGCAGAGAUUGUUGUCGGUGCAGUGGAGAAGAGGGGAGGGAUCGAUGCAAUCAUAUAGGGGUCUAUGGUUUAAUUAUUUUUAGAGUUUCUAGCAUCAAGUUUAG
rnacentral:lncRNA from 1 species